UGCUGAAUGGUUCAGUCGGCAGAGUGUCGGACUAUCAGUCCAGCAGUCGCCGGUUCGAGUCUCGGCUGAGUGGCAA